rfam:Anaerobacillus sp. NB2006 Ga0137927_1068, whole genome shotgun sequence.
CCUCCCUUUAAAUCAGUCCUGCGAGGCUGACAAGGGGUAUACUCCUCUUACUUAAAGUUUGUCUAUUGGACUGAUUUUAAGUAGACGAACGUACCUCUUUGAUAAACAACAAAGAGGUUUUUUGUAU